rnacentral:lncRNA from 1 species
CAGAUUUAAGCCACUGACCUUAUCUCCCUGAAGUUGCAGCGGAACAAACCGAAGAAUUAUAAAUCUUAUCUCCCUAAGCAGUAGUGGAGCAUAUCAAAGAUGGCAGAUCUUAUCUCCUUAACCAGUAGUGGAGCAGGUUGAAAAUUAUGAAUCUUACUUCCCAAGCGGUGCAGUGGAACAGAUUAAAGCCACAACGGCGAGUCCUGCUUCCCCGACAUUGC